AUUGAACGCUGGCGGCAUGCCUUACACAUGCAAGUCGAACGGCAGCAUGGGUGCUUGCACCUGGUGGCGAGUGUCGAACGGGUGAGUAAUACAUCGGAACGUACCUUAUCGUGGGGGAUAGCGCAGCGAAAGCUGUGCUAAUACCGCAUACGCCCUGAGGGGGAAAGCGGGGGAUCGCAAGACCUCGCGCGAUUAGAGCGGCCGAUGCCUGAUUAGCUUGGUGGUGGGGUAAAAGCCCACCAAGGCGACGAUCAGUAGCUGGUCUGAGAGGACGAUCAGCCACACUGGGACUGAGACACGGCCCAGACUCCUACGGGAGGCAGCAGUGGGGAAUUUUGGACAAUGGGGGCAACCCUGAUCCAGCAAUGCCGCGUGAGUGAAGAAGGCCUUCGGGUUGUAAAGCUCUUUUGUCAGGGAAGAAACACCGGCUCUAACACAGUCUGGGAAUGACGGUACCUGAAGAAUAAGCACCGGCUAACUACGUGCCAGCCGCCGCGGUAA
rnacentral:rRNA from 1 species